rnacentral:rRNA from 1 species
UUACGGAAGGCAGCAGUGGGGAAUUGUUCGCAAUGGGCGCAAGCCUGACGACGCAACGCCGCGUGGAGGAUGAAGAUCUUCGGGUCGUAAACUCCUUUCGAUCGGGACGAACGGCUUUCGGGUGAACAAUCCGGAAGAGUGACGGUACCGAGAGAAGAAGCCCCGGCUAACUCCGUGCCAGCAGCCGCGGUAAUACGGGGGGGGCAAGCGUUGUUCGGAAUUACUGGGCGUAAAGGGCUCGUAGGCGGCCAACUAAGUCGGACGUGAAAUCCCUCGGCUUAACCGGGGAACUGCGUCCGAUACUGGAUGGCUCGAGUUCGGGAGAGGGAUGCGGAAUUCCAGGUGUAGCGGUGAAAUGCGUAGAUAUCUGGAGGAACACCGGUGGCGAAGGCGGCAUCCUGGACCGACACUGACGCUGAGGAGCGAAAGCCAGGGGAGCAAACGGGAUUAGAUACCCCGGU